UAAUGGCAGGUCAGCAUACUGCCGUGAAUACGUUCCCGGGCCUUGUACACACCGCCCGUCACACCAUGGGAGUUGGGAAUACCCGAAGCCUGUGAGCUAACUUUUAGAGGCAGCAGUCGAAGGUAGAAUCAAUGAUUGGGGUGAAGUCGUAACAAGGUAGC
rnacentral:rRNA from 1 species